CAAUAGCGUAUAUUUAAGUUGUUGCAGUUAAAAGGCUCGUAGUCGGAUUUUGGCUGAGAACGAUCGGUCCGCCGUUAGGUGUGCACUGAUUGGUCUCAGCUUCCUGGUGAGGAGGUGUGCUUCACGGCCACUUAGUCACCGUGGUUACUUUGAAAAAAUUAGAGUGUUCAAAGCGGGCUUACGCUUGAAUAUAUUAGCAUGGAAUAACACCAUAGGACUCCUGUCCUAUUUCGUUGGUCUCGGGACGGGAGUAAUGAUUAAGAGGAACAGUUGGGGGCAUUCGUAUUUCAUUGUCAGAGGUGAAAUUCUUGGAUUUAUGAAAGACGAACUUCUGCGAAAGCAUUUGCCAAGGAUGUUUUCAUUGA
rnacentral:rRNA from 1 species